GAGCCGUGCGAGAUGAAAGUCUCAUGCACGGUUUUGCAUGAGAGAAAGAAGCGAGGAUUCCUCUUUUCGACUCUGAC
rnacentral:ncRNA from 1 species